GACGAACGCUGGCGGCGUGCUUAACACAUGCAAGUCGAACGGAAAGGCCCUGCUUUUGUGGGGUGCUCGAGUGGCGAACGGGUGAGUAACACGUGAGUAACCUGCCCUUGACUUUGGGAUAACUUCAGGAAACUGGGGCUAAUACCGGAUAGGAGCUCCUGCUGCAUGGUGGGGGUUGGAAAGUUUCGGCGGUUGGGGAUGGACUCGCGGCUUAUCAGCUUGUUGGUGGGGUAGUGGCUUACCAAGGCUUUGACGGGUAGCCGGCCUGAGAGGGUGAACGGCCACAUUGGGACUGAGAUACGGCCCAGACUCCUACGGGAGGCAGCAGUGGGGAAUAUUGCACAAUGGGCGGAAGCCUGAUGCAGCAACGCCGCGUGCGGGAUGACGGCCUUCGGGUUGUAAACCGCUUUCGCCUGUGACGAAGCGUGAGUGACGGUAAUGGGUAAAGAAGCACCGGCUAAUUACGUG
rnacentral:rRNA from 1 species